rnacentral:rRNA from 1 species
ACAGAGGUCUCAAGCGUUGUCCGGAUUUAUUGGGCGUAAAGAGCUCGUAGGCGGCUUGUCGCGUCGACUGUGAAAACCCGUGGCUCAACCAUGUGGUCUGCAGUCGAUACGGGCAGGCUAGAAUUCGGUAGGGGAGACUGGAAUUCCUGGUGUAGCGGUGAAAUGCGCAGAUAUCAGGAGGAACACCGGUGGCGAAGGCGGGUCUCUGGGCCGAUAUUGACGCUGAGGAGCGAAAGCGUGGGGAGCGAACAGG